ensembl:lncRNA
UUCAAACUCAGUAACCAUGAAAGAACAGUCUGAAAAAUUUGAUCACACACACAGAAUUUAAAGCAAAAGAAAAUCUGAAUGGAUUAAGGGAGGGGAAAUAAAUUGGAAAAAAUUUUGUAACAUUUAUUAUUAUAUUACUAUUGUAUUUAUUUUGCAUAGAGGGCCUAUGAUGUAGAGCAAAGGUCCCCAAACCCCAGGACAGGAACUUGUACUGAUCUGUGGCCUAUGAUAUUAGGAACUGGGCUGUAGAGCAGGAGAUUCUCAUAGGAAUGUGAACUCUACUGUGAACUGUGUAUCCCAGAGAUCAAAAUUGCACACUCCUUAUGCGAAUCUGAUGCUUGAUGAUCUGAGGUGGAGCUGAAAAAGUUAUGCUAGCACUGGAUUGUGCCUGAAAAUACAGAAUAACCUUAGUCUGACUGAACAGAUAAUCAUAAUAAAUUAAUUGCUUGAAGAUGUGUCAAAAUCCUAUCAGUGAGUGGCAAGUGACAAGCGGAAUAUGGUAGCAGGAUUUAUAGUGGUAAAUGAGUUGAUGUGCUUCAGUUACAGAGCUGCAUCUGGUGGUAGGCUUUAAGUCAGAAUAUAACACCUGUUUUAGUCUGCACAUUGCCUGCUCAUUAUUUUAUUUACCAUUUCUGUCUGAGUUUCUUUUCUGAACUAUGUACUUAGUGACAGUUUUGGAAAUCUCACAAGCUAAAUGUAGUUAAAAUGAGUGAAGAAAAAAAUGUCACUAGGAGUUUCUUUGAAUAGGGGGAAAGGCCAACUGAUGAGGUAGGAAGAGAGUCUAAGACUAUCAACAAAAAGCUGCUCUUAAAAGAAAAUACUAUGAGUCUUCCUUAAAUUAUGAAUUCAUGGCAACAGGUGAUUCACAUUCUCUAAUCCUACUUUUUAAAAUGUGUGUUGACCAGCCAUCCAACAAAGCCAUGAAAACUGUAAUACUUCCACAUGGAGACCAAGCACUCUACAUUGAAAGACAAGCCUGUGGAGUUUCUCCAAAAGAAUAAAAAAACCCCAUAAACAUGAAGAACAGAAGCAAAUAUUGAAGGCCAGCAUUUCAUGUGUGCACUGAGACCAUGUUUUUUGGUCACUAAUUGUAUACUGGAACCAAGAAGCUCUUUACCAUUGGUGAAGAGUUAAUCCUGCCUUCAGCUAAAGACAUUUGUCUUGUGCUUUUAGGUGAGGCUGCAGUUCAAAAGAUGGCUCCUCUUUUGGCUAGUCCCAUAACUAGAUGAAUUAAUGAAAAAGCAGAGGAUACUGAGGCACAAUUGUUCGAGGGGAUUAAUGAGUCACUGUGGUACACAGUCCAUGCUGAUGAAUCUGCCAUGUUGACAACAGGCAACAAUGCUUGAUUUUGUUUGACAUUUUUCAGGAGGACGUGCAUGAGGAUAUGUUAUGUGCACUUUUAUUACCAACAAACAACUGCAGAAAUUUUCAAGUCUUUGAAUGAUUACAUUUCAGUAAAACUAAAUUGGUCACUUUGUGUCAGUAUAUGCAUGGACGAAGGAGCUGCCAUGACAGGACAGCUUUCUCUUUCACUACUUGGGUCAAAGAGGUUGCUUCUGAACAUGAGUCUACACACUGUGUCAUCCAUACAGAAAUGCUGCCUAGCUGAAAAGUGUCACCUGAACUUAACAAUGUUUUGCAGGAUGUAAUUAAUCUUAUCAACCGUAUUAAAGUACAUGUCCUUGUGAAGCUCUAUGAG